rnacentral:rRNA from 1 species
GAGUUUGAUCAUGGCUCAGAUUGAACGCUGGCGGCAUGCUUUACACAUGCAAGUCGAACGGCAGCACGGGGGCAACCCUGGUGGCGAGUGGCGAACGGGUGAGUAACGCAUCGGAACAUGCCCAGUAGUGGGGGAGUAAACACAUCGAAAGAUGUGCUAAUACCGCAUAACGCAACUGAGGUGGAAAGCGGGGGAUCGCAAGACCUCGCGCUAUUGGAGUGGCCGAUGUCCGAUUAGCUAGUUGUGGGGUAAUGGCCUACCAAGGCGACGGAUCGGUAGCUGGUCUGAGAGGAUGAUCAACCACACUGGGACUGAGACACGGCCCAGACUCCUACGGGAGGCAGCAGUGGGGAAUUUUGGACAAUGGGCGCAAGCCUGAUCCAGCCAUGCCGCGUGAGU